GGGUUAAAGUCAUGUCUGUUUGACGAGCUGUAGCAGCUAAAAAGGGAAGGACCACUUCACCAAGAUACAGCAGGGAAAACGUGGAACAGCUUGUGCGCUUCUAACUUCACCCCCGUUUGGAGCUAUACCUUUGCAGGGAGAGGCUAAAUGCUAACAACAUUAGCGUGACUGAGCGCAGGCAUAAAGACCAGACAGUUUGUUUGCCGUGAUUGCCCGCCCCCCUCACUGCUCUAUGAAAACAGCUCCUCUGCUUCAGUGCUACAGUCUGCUGACUUGAAGUGAAGGUAAGUCUCCUCACGGCUCAGGUCUUUUACACAAAGAUCUUAUUAA
rnacentral:lncRNA from 1 species